rnacentral:lncRNA from 1 species
CCCCCCCUCUUUCUCUUUCUUUUUGUUCCUUUUUCUCUUUCUUUCCCUUUCUUUUUCUUUCUUUCCCACACUUAUUGGAACGAUGGUUGACCCAACUCUUCUUUCAGCUUCACAAACACCCACAUCUCACCGAUAUAAUUGAUUUUCAUAUCUCGUUUGAUCCCAACUGAGAUCGAACACGACAAAGGUCAUGACUGAAAUGGAGACCUUCCCAGGGUGGCUACAGACACAGGGCCUGACGUCAGAAACUGCUCAAGCUGUCAUCAUGGAGCUGGGUAUUGAGAAUCUAAAGGUGCUACGAGCCUGCACAGAGUCCGAUGCAUUGAGAGCUGAGCUUCUCUCAUGUGCACAGCAAAAGUUUCCUUUUGCAAUGUACACAGAGUUCCACCAACUUAUGGAGUCUUGUGUGAAACCAGGAGCUAUCCAGUCUGCAAGCUCUUCUUCGGCACACAUAUUUUGCUUGAUGCUUGAGCAUGUAGGUGACAGGCUUUCUGGCUGUGCCCAAAAAUUGCGCUUGUUGAAAUCUUCACUCCUAUCUGCUGGAGUGAGAAAUGCUCAACUUCAUGAAACUGAUAUUGUAUCUGAGAUCAGGAUACAUGAUGUCUACAGCCUCCAGCCUAACGGUUCCAGGUUAAACCCCAACUCUGGUGAAGAUGAUUUGCAAAAGGCAACUGAUAUAACUCAAAGCACCAGGAAAUCUGUUAUCAUUAAACAUUUGGAAGUUGCAUCAACACAGGUGUCCAGCAAUAUUUCAGAUGUUAAACCAGGUGAAAACUGUUCUGCAAAAGUGGAAAGCCUCCAAGAGGACAAUGAUCCAUCUGCCUCAGAAGCUUUGAGAUGUGCUUCGGUAAAGGAAGAAAUAGAUGAUCAUGGGACAGAUGACAGUGUUGCCUGUUGGGAAAAUGGUGCACAAAAGUGGACUUAGUGUGUUGUCAGUCGAUUUAGAAUUGGUCAACCAACAACGUGGAACAGACAACAAAAGAAAAAUCAUAAUUUGAAAUCUUCCUGGGAACGAAAUCCUUCAAGGAGAUUAAAACCAGUUUUAUGCUUAAGGGCAUCGUCCACUAAGGAAGGUCACAAUCCAUAUCUCAUCUCAAAACAACAAUCAAGGCCGGCAUCUGGAGCAUGUGCUCUAACCUCAAUAAAAUCAAGGACAUGAAAGAUAUCCAUCUGAAAAUUUACAUGGUGAUCUUGCUUCAUGCGAAGCAAAUGUACACCAAAGAACAUGUUAUUUUAUAUCAAAAUAAAGGUUUAUUCAAUUGAAUGGGUAACGUCUUUUUUGGA